rnacentral:rRNA from 1 species
GACGAACGCUGGCGGCGUGCCUAAUACAUGCAAGUAGAACGCACAGUUUAUACCGUAGCUUGCUACACCAUAGACUGUGAGUUGCGAACGGGUGAGUAACGCGUAGGUAACCUGCCGGGUAGCGGGGGAUAACUAUUGGAAACGAUAGCUAAUACCGCAUAAUAUUGAUUAUUGCAUGAUAAUUGGUUGAAAGAUGCUAUUGCAUCACUACCAGAUGGACCUGCGUUGUAUUAGCUAGUAGGUGAGGUAACGGCUCACCUAGGCGACGAUACAUAGCCGACCUGAGAGGGUGAUCGGCCACACUGGGACUGAGACACGGCCCAGACUCCUACGGGAGGCAGCAGUAGGGAAUCUUCGGCAAUGGACGAAAGUCUGACCGAGCAACGCCGCGUGAGUGAAGAAGGUUUUCGGAUCGUAAAGCUCUGUUGUAAGAGAAGAACGGGUGUGAGAGUGGAAAGUUCACACUGUGACG